rnacentral:tRNA from 2 species
GCGCCCGUAGCUCAUCUGGACAGAGUAUCAGCUUCCGAAGCUGAGGGUAGCAGGUUCGAGUCCUGCCGGGCGUA